UUGAGCGCGUGUCGUCGAUUU
rnacentral:snRNA from 1 species